GUCGGCGACGGAUCUUUCAAAUGUCUGCCCUAUCAAUUUUCGAUGGUAGGUGACCUGCCUACCAUGGUGAUAACGGGUAACGGGGAAUCAGGGUUCGAUUCCGGAGAGGGAGCCUGAGAAACGGCUACCACUUCCAAGGAAGGCAGCAGGCGCGCAAAUUACCCAAUCCCGGCACGGGGAGGUAGUGACGAAAAAUACGGAUACGGGACUCGUUAGAGGCUCCGUAAUUCGAAUGAGUACACUUUAAAUCCUUUAACGAGGAUCAACUGGAGGGCAAGUCUGGUGCCAGCAGCCGCGGUAACUCCAGCUCCAGAAGCGUAUAUUAAAGUUGUUGCAGUUAAAAAGCUCGUAGUUGGAUCUGGGUCGCAUGGCUACAUGCCGUUGCUCGUAUUUCUGGCCUGGUUCACACCGGGACGGAUUUAUGAGUCGGUGUCGUGGUUGUGCAGCCUUUCUGCCGUGUCUGUUUCGACAGGUGUUGGCAUGAUUGGUGGGUUCGUCCUGCUGGUCUGUUGACAUGCUUCCAGGUGCCCUUUACUGGGUGUCGGGGGCGGACGGCACGUUUACUUUGAACAAAUUUGAGUGCUCAAAGCAGGCCCGUGUGCCUGAAAAUUCUUGCAUGGAAUAAUGGAAUAGGACUUCGGUUCUAUUUUGUUGGUUUUCGGAUCCGAAGUAAUGGUUAAAAGGGACAGACGGGGGCAUUUGUAUGGCGGUGUUAGAGGUGAAAUUCUUGGAUCGCCGCCAGACAAACUACAGCGAAAGCAUUUGCCAAGGAUGUUUUCAUUGAUCUGGAGCGAAAGUCAGAGGUUCGAAGACGAUCAGAUACCGUCCUAGUUCUGACCAUAAACGAUGCCAACUGACGAUCCGUGGUGGCGCGAUUAU
rnacentral:rRNA from 1 species